AUGGCGGCUCCGAGAUGGACGUGUUGCUCAGGCGGCAGCAGGACCCUUCUGGCGCAGCUCCGUGCGCUCAUCCUGCCCGCGCUUCGCGGCGCUGACGGCAGGUCGGCCGCAGGGGCGGCGCCAGGGGUCUUCUUGGAACCUGGCGCCGCCACUAACUCGGCCGACCUUGCAAUUGGCCUCUUUGACGACGUGAUCGAUUGCAUCGCCGGGGUCAUGUCCAGGCUCCAAGGGAUGAGUACCGCGGGCGGUCAUGGAUCGGCGACGGCGCCCUUCGACCUCGCCGACGUUGACGUAAUUUCGCCAAACGCUGGCGGGGAACAUGACGAGAAGCCUGUGAUCAGCAACGUUGCUCAGAAGAGAAGUCUCAUCCCCCGGUCUCUCCACUCACUCGAGGUCUCUUGCCCCUGCAUCUUUCCUCCCCUGCAUCAACAGUUCUCUCCCCUCCCCUCUCUCGCGGCAUCCUCGCCGCAUAUGUCCCAUAUCCUCCCAUGUCCCUCUUUUUUGUUCCUUGAUCAAAUUUAUUUUGUUCCAUGGAAAGAGUAUGGUGAGGAGGAGGAUGAAGGCGACGAAAACACGAGAAAUGGUGCAAAGAAUGACCCUGGUAUGGACCUAAUUCAAAAUGGGAAAAUGGCACGAUCACUACCAGAAUUUCAAAACUUCGACCAAGGAGACGUGGACAUGCCGGCUCUAAUAAAGCAUUCAUUUUGCAAGCUUCUCACUCGCCAUGAUGGUUCUCUAGACUUUAGAAAAGAAGAGCCAGACAAGCAACAGUGUGGAGGUGUACAACUCUAUGAUGUUGGUCUAGUCUUCCCGGAGGUUGUGAUCUUUGUGGAUGUGUCGUCAUGUAUGAAGGUCAACAGGAUAUUCAAAGACAUCAUAGGAAUCAACCUAGUCAGGUCUAUACAAGCAGGUUUACUCAAGCAGGUUUGGAAGCACAAGAAUAUGCCGCCUAGGGUUCAAACUUUUGCUUGGAGAUUACUUCGCAAGACCCUCCCAACAGGUUUGAGAGCAUCUCGUUUCUCUACUCACAUUGAUAAAGAGUGUUGUCGUUGUGCUCAAGAUGAGGAUGAAUUGCAUUUGUUUUUCAGUUGUGCAUAUGCUAGGGCUACAUGGUUUGCGCAUCUUUGGUAUCUUAGGACUGAUAUCUUAACUGAAGAUCAUCAUUCUAUGCAGGCUCUUAUACAUGCUCUUCUGACCAUGAACCACCCUCAUGCAUCAGAAAGCUCAUAUAUAGCAGAGUUCUACAACACCACCCGGCAGUUGCAAUCGCAGGGUCACCACCAUGGCCGCCGCCCUCGCGCGCCGCGCCGCCGCCGCCAUCCCCCGCCACCUCGCCGUCGCCGCCGCCACCGCAGCUCCCACCAUCUCGCCCGCCGCCGCCGCCCGCUACCGUUUCCCGGGCGCGUUCGUCCGCCGCCGCGGCCACCACACCGGCGCCUCCCGCAGAUGGAGCAGCGCAUCGCGGAGCUCGAGAAGCGCAUCGGGGCCCUGGAAGCGGGCGCUGCCAAGGGCCUCGAGGGGUCGCAUCCCGUCCGCCAGCUCGAGGAGCGUGUCGCCCGCCUCGAGGUCGACCACCAGAAGCAGACUGCGCGCAUCUUCGUCGAGAUCGAUCAGAAGAUGGUGACGCUGGAGCUGAAGCUGGACAAGGCCUCGUUCGAUCAGUACAAGGAGGUCCAGGCCGGGCUGAACAAUCUCCAGGUCAGGUGCGGCACUUCAUCUGACCAGAUCCGGUCUCUUGCGGUCGCAUCAGCCGCACGCGAUAUCAAGGUGGACAAGCAGCACGCCCAGUGCCUUGUACAGAUCAAGAAGAACACAUGGAAAGUUGCAUGUACCGUCCUCCUGGGCGUUUCUGCGGUAGCUUUUGGGGUGAUGAACAUAGUGAGCGCCCACUCAAGAGAUGACAACCUCAAGGCAGCAGAUACCCUGUUCCAGAAGAAAAUCGCUAAGCUUGAGAAGGACUUCAAUACCAAGCUCGACUACACAGCGAAGCAGGCCGUCGAGGUUGUGCUAGCCAAGCGGGCACUCGAGGAGAGCAGCGCCCGGGACCAGCCUCCUCCGGGCACUGGCGGCACCUCCUCCGGAGGCUCAGGCGGCUCCCCUUAG
rnacentral:rRNA from 1 species